AUGAUUGCGCUAGGCUAUAAAUGGAUCAGGUUUGAAUUCAGAGAUCGAGGAGAGAGAGGAGGCGAUAUUUUGCUGUUGCUGCUGCUGAUGGGAGGUUAUUUUGGACAGAGCGGCUUCUCUCUGGUUCGGGGUGUUUUUGUGUCUUCUUCAGAGGAAACCUGUAAUUUUCGCUGCCAUGAAGGAGAUAACGAAGAAGUUUAUUUUUGGUACCGAGAGCAGCGGCUCCGAAUCUGGCGGAACAAAGUCUCAUGAAGUACUGGAUAGAUUCACUUCUUCUGAUGAAACAAGGAUUCUAAUGAUAGGGGAGUAAAAGAUCAAGAUACUGAACACCUUCACAAAGUUUCUUACGUCGAACAUGACAGUCCAAAACUCAACAAUAUUACAAAUACAUUAAAAUUAAUACAAGAAAAAGCAACAAAUCUUCACAUCAGUGAAGCUGCAAACAUGAAUAUCAUCAUGUUUUGUCUCCAAGAAACUUGUAACUAAAGUUGUUGUAAAAUAAAGUCGAUAAUCUUAAGUGAGCACAGUACUUCAGUGAACUUUGUCACUUUCUAUGACUGAAUUUAAAAGGAAAACGCGACACAAAGCAUCCGUAUUUCACGACCUGGGAACAACACCAGAAUCAUCUUCUCCUCCCUUUGCUAGAUUUAUUUGUUUGGUCUAUAAAAUGUGCCUGUUACGACUUCCCACAGCUCAAAAUGACGUCUUCAUGACGCGUUUUCUAUCCAACAAACGGUCCAAAACCCCCAAAAAAGCAGCAAAUCUGCACAUUUAAGAAGCCGGAGAACAAAAGUAGGAAGGAUGUCAGAAAAGCAGAUAAAGACACACCUACUGAUCAUCAUCAGUGUUGUCCUGUGUCUGACCGUGACCUCUGACCUUCCUGUAGAGAAAGAAAGGUCUCAUCAGGAAUCAGCUUCACAUAAACAUCCCUGUUUCACAUCCGGCCACCAGAGGGCGCCUGCUGCUCAACUCUGCAGGCAGCCAGUCAGGCAGCAGGAGGUGUGAGGGGGGUCAUCAUAUGGAUGAAUCUGCUCUGGGCGAGGCUCCACACACACACACACACUCUCACACACACUUGGUGUCGAUGACAGCAGGCAGAGGCCUGUUUACUCUCUGCGAUGCUGCGCUGAUUGCAUAAUCUGCAGCACGAAGGUCAUAAACAUUUCACCAGAUCACCACAGCAACGUCAGAACCCCUCGAGGCUGCGAUGGUUUACAGGCAUCACCGGUGCCGCCAUGUUUUAGAAAAAGAUGUGCAAGAAAAUGUGAAGAAGAAGAAUCUCCCUUCUAGAGGAGUCUGAGUCACCUAAUGAGACAAUUUUAACCUUAACCAGAGUUUGGAGCUGUGUCCAUAAACGCAUCACGACUUUCUGCCCACCGGAGCGCCGACACGUUAAGUCGCCUCUCAGUCAGCCACCGUUUCCUGUUAGACAGUAUGAGCUACAUGACAUGUACAAAAACACAGUUAAUCUCUUCCUCUUCUCCGGUUGUGUCCAGCUGUGUCUCCAGGUGAGGCAGAGCGGACAGGCCGGGUGGUGGAUGCAACCCAGCCACUGAUGAAAAGCUCUUCAAGUCAUCAAAAAUUGUUAAGAGGUUUAUUUUGUUCUGAUAAUCCUGCAAUAUCUCAUUACCAAAAGCAGAAUAUCAACAUUUCUGACAGGAAAUAUCACCAAAAUAUAUAAAAUACUCCGGUCUCUCAGUGUUAAAUGAGACCAAACAUGCAAAAAAAUACAUCUGGGAAAUGUAGUUUAUCACCCGGCAAUUGUAGUUCCUGCACACGUAACAUACGACAAGAUAAGAAUUUUCACAUUUUACCAUUUCUACAUGCAAAAAUACACAUUUCAUGGCAGUGCGUGAGCUAGCUCCAUGUUAGCUAACGUUAGCUUACCGGGUUGUGUUUCACCAGAAUCAAACCCAGCUGAACCAUUUUUUCCCGCCCUGCUGCUGCCGCCACACGGGUCAAACAGAUUAUACACCAUUUUUAUUUUAACCCCCCUCGGCCCUGCAGGUGCAGCGGGCUUACGCUAAUCGAUGCGGGCUUUUUCUCACCCGGCAAAAGAGGCUCUGGGAAUAUUACAUAACCUCCUGUGUUUCUGCACCGCUGCACAGCUGACAGGGUCCCUGCUGCACACUGCAUGACAUAACCCUCCACACAUCUGACUGCACACUGUCCUCCCUUCAUCUCUGCAUGUUUUCCUCUCCGUUUUACC
rnacentral:lncRNA from 1 species